UGGCCACAGGGUAAACUAAUAUCCUGGGU
rnacentral:piRNA from 1 species